UGCAAGUCGAGCGGUAACAGGUGUAGCAAUACAUGCUGACGAGCGGCGAACGGGUGAGUAAUGCUUUGGAAUCUUCCCAGUAGUGGGGAAUAACCAGUCGAAAGAUUGGCUAAUACCGCAUACGUCUGUAAAGGGAAAGCGGGGGCUCGUAAGACCUCGCGCUAUUGGAUGAGCCAAAGUCGGAUUAGCUAGUUGGUGGGGUAAUGGCCUACCAAGGCGACAAUCCGUAGCUGGUCUGAGAGGACGACCAGCCACACCGGAACUGAGACACGGUCCGGACUCCUACGGGAGGCAGCAGUGGGGAAUAUUGGACAAUGGGGGAAACCCUGAUCCAGCGACGCCGCGUGUGUGAAGAAGGCCUGCGGGUUGUAAAGCACUUUUAGUGGGGACAAAAAGCUACGGAUUAAUACUCUGUGGUCUUGAUUUAACCCAAAGAAAAAGCACCGGCUAACUCUGUGCCAGCAGCCGCGGUAAUACAGAGGGUGCGAGCGUUAAUCGGAAUUACUGGGCGUAAAGCGCGCGUAGACGGUUCUGUAAGUCAGAUGUGAAAUCCUUGGGCUCAACCUGGGAACUGCAUUUGAGACUGCAUGGCUAGAGUAUCGAAGAGGGAAGUGGAAUUUCCGGUGUAGCGGUGAAAUGCGUAGAUAUCGGAAGGAACACCAGUGGCGAAAGCGACUUCCUGGUCGAAUACUGACGUUCAUGUGCGAAAG
rnacentral:rRNA from 1 species